GUCCACGCCCUAAACGAUGAUCACUAGGUGUUGGGGGAGCGAUCUCCGAGUACCGAAGCUAACGCGUGAAGUGAUCCGCCUGGGGAGUACGGUCGCAAGAUUAAAACUCAAAGGAAUUGACGGGGACCCGCACAAGCGGUGGAUGAUGUGGAUUAAUUCGAUGCAACGCGAACAACCUUACCUACCCUUGACAUGUCCGGAAGGCCGCUGAGAGGUGGUUGUGCCCGAAAGGGAACCGGAACACAGGUGCUGCAUGGCUGUCGU
rnacentral:rRNA from 1 species